UACAGAGGUCUCAAGCGUUGUUCGGAUUCAUUGGGCGUAAAGGGUGCGUAGGCGGCGCGGUAAGUCGGGUGUGAAAUCUCGGAGCUUAACUCCGAAACUGCAUUCGAUACUGCCGUGCUCGAGGACUGGAGAGGAGACUGGAAUUCAUGGUGUAGCAGUGGAAUGCGUAGAGAUCAUGAGGAAGACCAGUGGCGAAGGCGGGUCUCUGGACAGUUCCUGACACUGAGGCACGAAGGCCAGGGGAGCAAACGGG
rnacentral:rRNA from 1 species